rnacentral:misc_RNA from 1 species
CGAGCUCGCCUCCUGAAGCCUUGGUAGCUAUGCGACUCUAAAUAACGGCUGCCAGUCCACGUUUGGUGGGCGACAUGAUCGAAUUGCGGGGAAGCCCUAAAGCUCUCAGUACCGCAAGCCCCCUGAAAGGGGGGCCUGCACCGCGGGGUAACGCCCGCGGGUACGGUUAGAACCUGAGAGAUGGUACAAUGGGUGAUUCGCAGCGGACCCCUACGGCCCCUGGGCUACGGGUAACGUUCACAGACUAAGUGGUCAUGGACUCCGGUUUAAAAUAUAGUCGGUCCCCUGAGAGAUCAGGGCGCUACACGUUCCGUAGGUGAACCUGCGGAAGGAUCAUUACAGGGUUCUUUUCCUGCCCUUUUCAGGGUAGAGAAUCCCCAUCCUUGUGUAUAUUAUAUUUGUUGCUUUGGCAGGCUGCCCUUGGGCCUGGGCUUCGGCUCGGCUACGCCUGCCAGAGGACCCCUCAACUCUGAAUUGUUAGUGUCGUCUGAGUACUAUAUAAUAGUUAAAACUUUCAACAACGGAUCUCUUGGUUCUGGCAUCGAUGAAGAACGCAGCGAAAUGCGAUAAGUAAUGUGAAUUGCAGAAUUCAGUGAAUCAUCGAAUCUUUGAACGCACAUUGCGCCCCUUGGUAUUCCGAGGGGCAUGCCUGUUCGAGCGUCAUUGAAAAACUCCUGCCCUGCAGGGUCUUGGGCUCCGUCGCGGGACGGGCCUGAAAAUCAGUGGCGGCCUCCGUCGACCCUAAGCGUAGUAAAUCUCCUCGCUACAGGGCCUCGGCGGGUGGCUAGCCAUAACCCCAACUCUCAAUG